rnacentral:tRNA from 1 species
GGCCCCGGAACGCGAUGACCAAGCUGCAAACUUGGCCCAGGCCCUUUAGGAGGCCCCGGGGCUU